CCGUUGAGCACACUGAACAAAACCAUGUGACAGUUUUAAACAGGCAGGUAGAGAGAGGCUGUUUUACCUGUUCACUACACAGUAAUUUUCGCAGUGUUAAAUAUGCACUGUGUCACAAUUCAUUGACUCUUUCAGAGCUAAUACAACAGACUGAGUAUAAUGCCCCCUAGAGUUCGUGAAAAUUUCCAGUGUAUACACGUCGUGUCAAUUUAACUCUAACAUUCUCCGCCCUCCUCCUCCUCUCAAUCCAACAAGUCUAGCCGUUGCAUGGACGCCAUUUUUCACUUGCUUGAAAGACUGCGGAACCAUGUUGAUUAAAACAAGACUUGGCGAGCUGCAAAAAUGUGUCCGACUAACGGAGCCGAAUCUGAAGGAGUUUUUGAUAGCAGCAUUCACAAAAUUUGGCAUGCCAGCUAUAACAGAGGGUGUGAAGGUUGUUGACAGUUCUGGGACUGAGUUGGAUGAAGAUGUAUUUGAGGAUGUUGUUAAGGAUCCCUCUGCUGGAGUCCUAACCAUCAAAUAUGAAACUGAAUUUGUCUCCAUUGUGGAAUCGCCUGAGGAAUCUCAGCCAAGCUCCUCUGAUUCUCAAGAGACACUCAUUCUUUCAGAGAGUCCUUCCGCUAAACGCCAGCGCCUGGACACAGAAGCUAAGCAUUUGGUGGAAUCCAUUCUUAACAACAAACCUGAUGGCGAACGGAUCAUGAAGGAAUAUAAUCGAAGCAAGUGCCUUACAGAUGAAACCAGAAGGAAAAUGGUUAACAUACUGGCAGCUGAUAUGACAGAGAAGAACGGGACAUCACCACCCAGAGAGGUUAAAGAAAUGUAUGCCAGAGGAAUUGUGAGCUUAUUCCCCUACCUCAGAGAUCCAUUCUCCAGGAAUGGUUAUAUUUACUGGUUGUGUCAGUCAUAAUCAGAGAUCCACUGCUAGAGACAGACGAUCAUCAUAUGGAGCAUCUUCCGAAGAAGCAUCGUGUGAACAUGGACUUGGAGGACCAGCUGCUAGACGGGAGACCCAGUUUGUUCCAGAGACUGUCCUGAGUGAAGAAGAGUGUAAGGAAGCCAUCGCACUGAUGAAGCAUUCAGUCGAUGAGGACACAGUCAAGAAGAAGAUGAAGCUCACGUUUGACUUCCGACGCAACGUGGUCCUCGAUCCCCAACAGUCAAGCAACAUACUCUCUGUCUUUCCACGUUUCAAAGAUGUCAAAGGCUUGGUGGAGCAGGAUUUUGUCCUAAUGUUUGAAGAAGAUGUUUGUGGAGAAAUGGCCAACCACAUUCAAGACAAAGAUCAUCCAACAAUGCAGAAAGCUUCCAACCACCAGUGACCUUGAAGAACUUCUCCUGGCAGCUGAUACUCCUGAGGAUGGCACUGAAGUGGAUGAUGAUGAUAUGAGUUGGGACAGUGACCUCUCAUCGAUUUUGUUGCUGCUACACCUGAUUCCCCCCUCUGCUUUGGGCCGGAAGAGACCAGGGAAGGUGUCUGCCUCCCAAGCAGAGAAGCAUCUUGUGGUCUUCAAGAAGACGGGAACCAACAUCCAAGAACAUCUUGAUGCCAUCACGACGAGCACACAACCCUAUCUCCUGGCUGUGGGACGGAGGAAGAAAGUAGCUCACUAGUUCUUCAUCAUCCUUGACAAAAAUGCCAUCGCUUGCAGGUCAACUUCCUCUCUUGGUGCUUUUGACAAACUGUUUAAGGCACAUUACGUUGUUUGCCACAACAUACAACCCCAUGCUGUGCAAUAUGUUAAUGUUCAUCCAGACCACUGUGUACAAUAUAGAUGUAGGUAAAGUGAAAGAAAGUCCUCGUGUGGCAGAAAUUUGGGCUAGGUUGCUUCACUAGUACUUGAACAAAUCUGUUUGACAGAGUUAAGUUGCACAAAUGCACUCGUUCGGCAUAUACGAGUAGUUAGUUCAUGGUUACUUGGAUGGAAAAACUGUCUUAAAUGUGCUCUGUCAACUUCGAGCCGUCUAAUGUAAUGGGAUGUACA